AGAAAACGAGGAAGAAGAAAGUGGAGAUGAGGAAUACAUGAGUGAUGAAGAUUGAUAAACAACUUUUUAAUGUUUUUUUAGCCUUUUUGAUGUUAAUUUGUUUUUUUUCCAGUUUUUAUUUUAUGAUAUUAUUGAACUUAUGUUGGUUUAUGUUGUUCCAUCCUUUGAUAGGACGAGGAAUUGUUGUAUUUUGGCGACAUUUCAUGUUGCCGUGACAUUUCUUUUGGAUGUUG
rnacentral:lncRNA from 1 species